CACUCACUGUCCUUCCUUCUAUCUACACCCCAGGAAUCAAUGAACUGCCUAAUGUCAUCUAGCAGCUCCCCCGACUGUUGUAACGACCAUGUCUCACCUUCCGCACCCCUUGCCGCUGAAGGCCGUGGGGUUGCUGACCGACCGCGGAUCUCCUGCCCCAAGCGUCCCAUUGCUCCGGGCCGUGCUCCUGAUACGCUGGGUCUCACCCGAUCCGCGGGGGACCUGGAAGCAGGGCCGGUGCGAGGAUUUUUGCCGCCCUAGGCAAAAAUUAUUUUGACGCCCCCCCCCCAUAUGUCCUGCCCACCAUGUGACAUCACAAUGCCCCGCCCAUAUGCUCUGCCAUAUGGGCCAACGCCAGUCUUCACAAAGUGUCUUUUAUCUGAAAAGACAGUGUGUUUACAUUAAAAAGCCUAUAGGCACAGGCUAUAGACACCAGAACCACUACAAUAUGCUGUAGUGCUUCUGGUGACUAUAGUAUCCAUUUAAGGUAAAUUAGA